rnacentral:rRNA from 1 species
UACGGAGGGAGCUAGCGUUAUUCGGAAUUACUGGGCGUAAAGCGCACGUAGGCGGCUUUGUAAGUUAGAGGUGAAAGCCCGGAGCUCAACUCCGGAACUGCCUUUAAGACUGCAUCGCUUGAAUCCAGGAGAGGUGAGUGGAAUUCCGAGUGUAGAGGUGAAAUUCGUAGAUAUUCGGAAGAACACCAGUGGCGAAGGCGGCUCACUGGACUGGUAUUGACGCUGAGGCGGCGAAAAGCCAGGGGAGCAAACGGG